AAUGAACGCUGGCGGCGCGCCUAAUACAUGCAAGUCGAGCGAGAAGACGUAGCAAUACGUUUGUAAAGCGGCGAACGGGUGAGGAAUACAUGGGUAACCUACCCUCGAGUGGGGAAUAACUAGCCGAAAGGUUAGCUAAUACCGCGUACGCUUCUUGGACUUCGGUUCAGGGAGGAAAGCGAUACCGUGGGUAUCGCGCUCUUGGAUGGGCUCAUGUCCUAUCAGCUUGNGGUGAGGUAACGGCUCACCAAGGCUUCGACGGGUAGCUGGUCUGAGAGGACGAUCAGCCACACUGGCACUGCGACACGGGCCAGACUCCUACGGGAGGCAGCAGUAAGGAGUAUUGCGCAAUGGGCGAAAGCCUGACGCAGCGACGCCGCGUGGGGGAU
rnacentral:rRNA from 1 species